GCUCGUAGUUGGAUUUCUGUUAAUAAUUUAUAUAUAAUAUUUGAUUAAUAUUUAUAUAAUAUUAACAUAAUUCAUAUUACUAAAUUUAUUAGUAUAUGAAAUUUUACUUUGAGAAAAUUAGAGUGCUUAAAGCAGGCAUAUGCCUUGAAUACUCCAGCAUGGAAUAAUAUUAAAGAUUUUUAUCUUUCUUAUUGGUUCUAAGAUAAAAAUAAUGAUUAAUAGGGACAGUUGGGGGCAUUUGUAUUUA
rnacentral:rRNA from 1 species